rnacentral:rRNA from 1 species
GGUGGUGCAUGGCCGUUCUUAGUUGGUGGAGCGAUUUGUCUGGUUAAUUCCGAUAACGAACGAGACUCUAGCCUGCUAAAUAGUACGCCGGUCAUUUUCGCCGGUGCAUACUUCUUAGAGGGACAAGCGGCGCUUAGUCGCACGAAAUUGAGCAAUAACAGGUCUGUGAUGCCCUUAGAUGUCCGGGGCCGCACGCGCGCUACGAUGACAAGAGCAACUAGUGUUUCCUGACUCGAAAGGGUUGCGGUAACCUGGUAAAUUCUUAUCAUGACAGGGAUUGGGCUUUGCAAUUAUCGCCCAUGAACGAGGAAUUCCCAGUAAGCACAAGUCAUAAGCUUGUGCUGAUUACGUCCCUGCCCUUUGUACACACCGCCCGUCGCU